CUCUGCACCUCUUGGAAUGAGGAGUUGGUCCGAAAAGCAGCAGAGGCAGUAGUCUCUGCUUCCCCCGAAAACACUCUGUGCAGGUAUGGAGGGAGACCGGGAUGAGAAGGGGAGGCGUGUUAGUUUGUUACCGGGAGGGGAGAGCAGCACACAGCAUCAUGGACUCGGUCACUCCAUCUGCAAAGUCCCCGUUUUGCGCACCACCACGACACACCGACUUAGCGAGAUUUCAUCUCUCAACCCCUCUGCACUGCAUCAUGACCGGAAGAGGCAGCGCAGAAGGCCGUGCCGCAGGCUAACAAGUGAUGACGGCAUCCCCAGACUGUCAAUGAUGAUGAUGCGGAGAGGACUUGCAGCAGAGGAUGAGAGAGCUACCCUACCCUACCCUCCGUGAGGGGCUGCAUUUACCAUUGAAGACGUGGGGAGCUCGGGAAAUCAAGAAGAAGGUGUAAUUACCCCGCCCGGUACAGUAUUCCAGGCCAGCGUUCCCGCGUCCCAGCCCCUGGGCACUUUCGUCUGCGUUGCCGUGUCCGGAUCACCACCCCACCAUCCCUACCACCAUCCCCACCAUCGCCUGUCUCCCAAACACUCACAGAUGGCCUCUGUCUGGCUCCUUCAGGGCUCUGGGUGAUCGGAGAGGAAAGCUGGGCUAAUCCCGUUCAUAGCAGCCCCUUUUGGAAAUCUGCUCUCUGCGGACCUGCGAUCCAUGUACCUGC